rnacentral:lncRNA from 1 species
UCGACGGUGAGUUUGAUUUUGAAGACGACAUGGAGAACCCUCAGAGCCCACAGCAGAGGCCACCGCUACUCCAGCAGUGCUGCAACGAGCUCCACCAGGAAGAGCCACUUUGUGUUUGCCCAACCUUGAAAGGAGCAUCCAAAGCCGUUAAACAACAGGUUCGACAACAGCAAGGACAGCAGGGACAGCAGCUGCAGCAAGUAAUUAGUCGUAUCUACCAGACUGCUACGCACUUACCUAAAGUUUGCAACAUCCCUCAAGUUAGCGUUUGUCCCUUCCAGAAGACCAUGCCUGGACCCUCCUACUAGAUUCCAAACGAAACCCUCGAGUGUAUGAAUGUGGUUGUCGGUAUAUGUCAACGCCACACUUCAUCGCGUAAUAUGUAAGGUCUUAUCUAGGAUGUUUGAGGCUAUGUAAUUAGCACUACUCCAUAAUAAAAGAGGNNNNNNNNNNNNNNNNNNNNNNNNNNNNNNNNNNNNNNNNNNNNNNNNNNNNNNNNNNNNNNNNNNNNNAAAAAAUAUUUUGAUAAGCGAAAAAUUAAAAUCAUGUAAUUAUAAACAGUUUUAAGUGAUAUAAAUUAAAAUAUAACAAAAUUGAAUUGUUUUCAACAUAGAUGAGUGUAGGUAGUGAAUCAUGGUAUUCUUUGGUCUAGGGUUUGACAACAUAUGUUGUAGUAUUGUAUGUAUACUUAGGGUUAGAUUUUGGAAAGCUUGAAUGUUUUUUUGAAAAAUUAAUUUUUUACCUAUGCAUGUUUAUUUUUGUGUAUAGUAAAUACUUUUGAAGUUUAAUUUGGUUUUAUGAAGUGUUUAGUUAGUUAAUUAAGUUUAGGGGUAAUGUUUAUGAUCUAGACUACUUACAUUUCAGUCGUAUGGUGAAGAAAUUAAAACAGACGACUUACAUGUAAGUCGUCCAAAUAUUUCCGCCUAAAAUUUUUUUAAAAAUUAUUUUCCCGCUUAAAUAAUAUAAACCAGACGACUUACUUGUAAGUCGUCUAGAAAGUGUUCUAUUUUAGUUUCUCACUAAAAAUAUUUUAAUUUCCCGCUAAAAAUAUUAAAACCUUCUGGACGACUUACAAGUAAGUCGUCUGAAUCAAACAUAUUUAACCUAAUUGAAUUUUUUGUCUCCCUAUAUAAAGAAAAAUUUACACAUUUUCUCUCCUCCUCUCAAAUGGCUGCAACAAAAAUGUAAUGUUCAUCACUCUAAAAGUCUUCAACCUCUCUCUAAUCUUUUUGACUUGAAAACACCAAACUUUAUAUGAAUUUUUCAGUUUUGUCUCAUGUCUUUCUUAAUAAUCUAUCUUUUUUGCAGGUUUUUAAUCAGAUGGUACUCAUCUUCCACUCAUUUAAAGGUAGAUCUAUUAAUUUUAGAUAUAUAUUUUUGUGUGUUCUAUAAAGGUAGAUUUAUCUAAUCUUCCACUCAUUUUCUCUAUUUUUAAGUCAUUUGAACGUUUUUGGAUAUGCAGGUUUUUCAGAUCUGGAUUUGAUAUGCAGGUUUUUCAGAUCUGGAAGACUUCUAUAAUGUUCUUGAUCGAUCACCGGUUUUUGAUGGUAUAUUACAAAGUCGAGCUCCAAAAGUUAAUUACAUUGUCAACGGACAUGAGUACCAUUUGGCUUACUAUCUCACAGAUGAUAUUUAUCCAAAAUGGGUUACUUUUGUCCAAUCUAUUCCACUCCCGCAAGGUCUGAAAGCAUCCUUAUUCGCUACACAUCAAGAAGCUGUAUGUAAAGAUGUCGAGCGUGCUUUUUGGGUCUUACAAGCUCGAUUUGCCAUAGUAAAAAAUCCAGCUCUUUUGUGGGAUAAAAUAAAAAUUGGAAAGAUAAUGAGAGCAUGUAUCAUUCUACAUAAUAUGAUCGUAGAAGACGAACGAGAUGAGUACACUCAGUUUGAUGUAUCAGUUUUCGCACAACCAGAAUCAAACCGAAGUUCACAAGUGGAUUUCACGUAUUCUACAGAUAUGCCUUCAAAACUCGGCAAUAUGAUGAGCAUUCGGAAUCGAGUUCGUGAUAAUACAAUACAUCAACAAUUGAAAGCGGAUUUGGUUGAGCAUAUAUGACAAAAAUUUGGAACAAUCAAGAUUUCAACUAAUCGGUUUUUUCUCGUUUACGAUUUGUAUUUGUAUUUUUAAUAUGCUUUUAUGUCAUUUUUAUUAAGAAUUUUAAUGUAUGAUUUUAUUUUUAAUCAUUCUAUUUAAAAAUGAAUUAUUUAAGAACCCCUUGGGGUUCUCCCAUUGGGAGAGGAAUACAUAAUUUCCUCAAACAAAGGUUCUUUAACUACUCAAAUCACUUUAUUAAAUAUUAAUUUACUCCUAAAAACCCAUUAGAGGUUCUAAUGGAUGGACUUGCUCUUAACGAUCCCGAAUUACAUAGUUAUGUGUUCUCACACUUUCUCUUACAAGUGUUUUUAACCGCUUGCUUAAACUUUAAAUUUUAGUUUACCAUGUAAUUAAUUAUGAUCAGUGCCAUUGUGUGAUUCCUUUUUCUUAAAUAUCUUAACUUGAAUUAACUAAAUGUUUAAAAGGAAAUUCGUUUUUUAUAAAAAAUAUACAAAAUGUCAGAAUAUGAACUACACAUCAUACAUGCAUGGUUGCAUGGCAUGUAGACGCGGAAACUUGUCACUCCUCCACAUUUGAGAUUCCAACACCUAAUCGCUACAAAAACCUUAUAGAUUCUCCCUUUCUCACAAACAAACAAACACAUUCAUGCAAUGUUACACGUGAUCUCCAUGCAGAACAUCUUUCACGCCUAUAAAUACCAACCAACACUCCACUUCCCUCUUCACUCAAACGAAAACAAGCAAAAAACAUACACACAAAUAGCAAAUGGCCAACAAGCUCUUUCUCGUCUCGGCGACUCUCGCCCUCUUCUUCCUUCUCACCAAUGCCUCCAUCUACCGAACGGUCGUAGAAGUCGAGGAAGAUGAUGCCACAAACCCAGCCGGUCCAUUUAGGAUUCCGAAAUGUAGGAAGGAGUUUCAGCAAGCACAACACCUAAGAGCUUGCCAGCAAUGGCUCCACAAGCAGGCAAUGCAGUCCGGUAGUGGUCCAAGCUGGACCCUCGAUGGUGAGUUUGAUUUUGAAGACGACAUGGAGAACCCUCAGAGCCCACAGCAGAGGCCACCGCUACUCCAGCAGUGCUGCAACGAGCUCCACCAGGAAGAGCCACUUUGUGUUUGCCCAACCUUGAAAGGAGCAUCCAAAGCCGUUAAACAACAGGUUCGACAACAGCAAGGACAGCAGGGACAGCAGCUGCAGCAAGUAAUUAGUCGUAUCUACCAGACUGCUACGCACUUACCUAAAGUUUGCAACAUCCCUCAAGUUAGCGUUUGUCCCUUCCAGAAGACCAUGCCUGGACCCUCCUACUAGAUUCCAAACGAAACCCUCGAGUGUAUGAAUGUGGUUGUCGGUAUAUGUCAACGCCACACUUCAUCGCGUAAUAUGUAAGGUCUUAUCUAGGAUGUUUGAGGCUAUGUAAUUAGCACUACUCCAUAAUAAAAGAGGAUUUUAGUGUUUUAUUCGGUGUGCAUGCUCUCUAAGUGGUUCAAGAUUUUAGUUUUCAAGCAAAUUCCAAUCAAAAUUGUGCGUUACUUACAUCGGCUGUUUAACGGCGUGCAAAACACCGAUCGAACUGAUCUACGAGGGCAUAUGCCAUCGUUCAAUCUCUGACCAAGUCUCUUACAAUAAAUUAAUGAAUAAUAAUACUAAUUAAGCAAAAAGAGAGAGAAGUGAACGAUCAGCUCUUCAGACCACCUCCAGGACCCCUAAUGGGUACUGAAAAUUAAAUUAGUGUUUAAUUUAGUGAUUUGAAAGGUUUAGAACCUCUAUUAAUCUAUUUAAUUUUUUCAUCUUCUAUUGGUAGAACUUCAUUGAGGUACUUAAAAAAUAAUUUAUUUUUUUUAAAGUUGAAUGAUUUGAAAGACCAUGAUACAUAAAAUUUUCAGGGGAAUUUGUCAAAACUAACCCACAACUUAAUUUUAAUCCCAAACAUAUACUCAAACUUGAAUCAAAUGCAAAGCUAAUAUAAAAGCCUUGUGAAAUUACAGCUCAACCACUUUUUCUAAGUCAUUUUUACGAAUAUAGCCCUAGUAAAUCGUCUGAGUCGUCUGAGAUGUUGGAAGUCGUCUGGACGACUUCAAAUUAAGUCUUCUGGUGUAGUUGAUCUUAAAAAUAACUUUUAAAUUUUUUAAAAAAUAUUUUGAUAAGCGAAAAAUUAAAAUCAUCUAAUUAUAAACAGUUUUAAGUGAUAUAAAUUAAAAUAUAACAAAAUUGAAUUGUUUUCAACAUAGAUGAGUGUAGGUAGUGAAUCAUGGUAUUCUUUGGUCUAGGGUUUGACAACAUAUGUUGUAGUAUUGUAUGUAUACUUAGGGUUAGAUUUUGGAAAGCUUGAAUGUUUUUUUGAAAAAUUAAUUUUUUACCUAUGCAUGUUUAUUUUUGUGUAUAGUAAAUACUUUUGAAGUUUAAUUUGGUUUUAUGAAGUGUUUAGUUAGUUAAUUAAGUUUAGGGGUAAUGUUUAUGAUCUAGACUACUUACAUUUCAGUCGUAUGGUGAAGAAAUUAAAACAGACGACUUACAUGUAAGUCGUCCAAAUAUUUCCGCCUAAAAUUUUUUUAAAAAUUAUUUUCCCGCUUAAAUAAUAUAAACCAGACGACUUACUUGUAAGUCGUCUAGAAAGUGUUCUAUUUUAGUUUCUCACUAAAAAUAUUUUAAUUUCCCGCUAAAAAUAUUAAAACCUUCUGGACGACUUACAAGUAAGUCGUCUGAAUCAAACAUAUUUAACCUAAUUGAAUUUUUUGUCUCCCUAUAUAAAGAAAAAUUUACACAUUUUCUCUCCUCCUCUCAAAUGGCUGCAACAAAAAUGUAAUGUUCAUCACUCUAAAAGUCUUCAACCUCUCUCUAAUCUUUUUGACUUGAAAACACCAAACUUUAUAUGAAUUUUUCAGUUUUGUCUCAUGUCUUUCUUAAUAAUCUAUCUUUUUUGCAGGUUUUUAAUCAGAUGGUACUCAUCUUCCACUCAUUUAAAGGUAGAUCUAUUAGUUUUAGAUAUGUAUUUUUGUGUGUUCUAUAAAUGUAGAUUUAUCUAAUCUUCCACUCAUUUUCUCUAUUUUUAAGUCAUUUGAACGUUUUUGGAUAUGCAGGUUUUUCAGAUCUGGAUUUGAUAUGCAGGUUUUUCAGAUCUGGAAGACUUCUGGGACGACUUACCUGUUAGUCGUCUGGAAGUCGUCUGGAAGUCGUCUGGACUUCUUGGAAGUCUUCUGACAAAGUCGUCUGGACUUCCAGGAAGUCGUCUGGACUUCGACGAAGUCGUCUGGACUUCCAGGAAGUCGUCUGGACUUCCAGGAAGUCGUCUGGACUUCCAGGAAGUCGUCUGGACUUCCAGGAAGUCGUCUGGACUUCCAGGAAGUCGUCUGGACUUCCAGGAAGUCGUCUGGACUUCCAGGAAGUCGUCUGGACUUCCAGGAAGUCGUCUGGACUUCAUGGAAGUCUUCUGACGAAGUCUCCCUUUCAUAAUAGAUCUGAGCGUUUUGGUAAGUUCUUAUGUCUGAUUUUUCUUCAUUUGGUAACUUCUUGUUGUAUAAAGUUCUUACUUUUUUCCCAAACUAAAACUCUCCAAACCCACUCUAAUCUCUUUGACUUGAAAACACCAAACUUUAUAUGAAUUUUCCAGUUUUGUCUCAUGUCUUUCUUACUAAUCUAUCUUUUUUGCAGGUUUUUAAUUAGAUGGUACUCAUCUUCCACUAAUUUAAAGGUAGAUCUAUUAUUUUUAGAUAUGUAUUUUUGUGUGUUCUGUAAAGGUAGAUUUAUCUAAUCUUUCACUCAUUUUUUCUGUUUUUAAGCCAUUUGAACGUUUUUGGAUAUGCAGGUUUUUCAGAUCUGGAUUUGAUAUGCAGGUUUUUCAGAUCUGGAAGACUUCUGGGACGACUUACCUGUUAGUCGUCUAAAAUAUAAUGCACUAGACGACUUCCAGGAAGUCUUCCAGACGACUUCCAUUUCAGUCGUCUAGACUUCCUAAAAGUCGUCUAGACUUCCUGGAAGUCAUCUGGAAGUCGUCUGGACUUUCUGGAAGUCUUCUGACAAAGUCUUCUUCCAUAUCAAGUGGAGUCCAAGCUUGUCUUUGUAGAGGAAUGAUCUAUAAUAGUUUUGUUUGUGGUCUGUUUUGUGAAUUGCAUGUCUACUCUUUUAGUUGUGAAUUUUUUGUAAAAUCAGUAAUAAUGUUUUCCAAGAUGUAUUAAAUGUGCUAACAAUGUGUUUACACAUUUACAAAUCAAUGAAAUAAUAAACUUCAGUAGCCUUUUUUUAUCAAUAAUAAACAAAUCAAUGAAAUAAUAAACUUCAGUAGCCCGUCUUCCGCUGAUCCUCUCACCAUUUCUUGCGCAUAUAACAAUGCUCUGUAUGAAGUGGUGUAAUCAAGUGUCAUGCCAAACAUGUUCUUCAUUGCAUCUUUGAUAUGCUGCGGAUUCAACCCAUCAAUGAUUCCAACACGAUCUAUGAAAAGUCGACCAAUGUACUUCGGAGUACAGCGUUUCCGCUGAGCGAUUCUGUCUGGAAUGGAACAUGUAUGAGUUGCCACAUACUUGGUUACCCGAAACGUUUUAGUCCCAUGUUUCACACUUGCUCGGACCUUCCAUUGACAACCACUAACAUGAUAUGUUGCCACAAAGAGAGUUUUCGUUGACUUGAAUAUUCUGAAGGAGAACCUACGCCUCACCGCUGUCAACCGCAACUCUGAAAGCAGUGCAUCCUUACUAGCAAAACUCUGGUUGACAUAGAUUCUGUCUACAGAUGAUCCUUCUCCUUCACAACCAUAUGCCCAAAACAGAUUUCAUCAUCUUCUUCCUCAUCCUCGUCUUUAACCAUUCCAUACUCACUAUAAUCAUCAGCAUCAGCGACAACAGGGAUGUCAGCAUCCUCUUCCCCAUCAUGAUCCUCAGCUUCAUGCCCCUCCUCAGCUUCAUCCCCCUCCUCAGCUUCAUGCCCCUCUUCAGCUUCAUCCCCCUCCUCAGCUUCAUCCCCCUCCUCAGCCUCAUCUCCCACAUGAUCUUCAUCCCUUUUCUCUGAAACCGUUCUCAUCUUGCUAAAGCUUGAUACACAAAGACGUACUUCAUGCAUUUUAGUUAUCUCGAGCAAGUUCUGAACUUGUAUAUCACUUGUAACAUGAAUAGGAGGAAGGUCUGGAGCCAUCUGUUGUAAUGAGUAGGUUAACUCCACAGACUCUAUGAAACUUCAAUCUAAGUACUCAUGAUGACUAAACUAUACGUCGUCUGGUCAACGCAGAGGUUAUUUUUGCAAUUGACUUUGAAAUCUGUUAUUUCAGACGACUGAAAAAUAAGUCGUCUACUUUUGUUUGGUUUAAAGAAAAAACUCCAAAAAAGCUAGACGACUUACAUUUCAGUCGUCAUGGGUUAGUUUUGCAUUUGACUGGAUUAUUUCAGAAGUUUUACUUUCCUGGACGACUUAGAUUUCAGUCGUCUCGUGAAAAUUAAAAUAAUAAUAUUUUUUUUAAAACUAGACGACUUACAAUUAAGUCGUCAUAUGUUAGUUUUGCAAUUGAAAAAGAAAACUUCAAUAUUUAAUUAUAUAUAGAUGACUUACAAUUCCGUCGUCCGUCAGACGACUUACGUGUAAGUCGUCCAGGAUUUACGAGGUUUGACCAGAAUCUCGGAAUAAAAUCCUGGCUGAAUUGUAAGUCGUCUGGGUAUGAUUAAAUAUUGAAGUUUUUUUUUCAAUUGCAAAACUAACCUAUGACGACUUAAUUGUAAGUCGUCUAGUGUUAAUAAAAUAUUGAUAUUUCAAUUUUCACCAGACGACUGAAAUGUAAGUCGUCCGGGAAAGUCAAACUUCUGAAAUAUUCUAGUCAAAUGCAAAACUAACUUAUGACGUCUGAAAUGUAACUGUGUUUGACUUUAAGUUGUAGGUCAAUUCUGCCAAAAGCCUAAAUUUUUAUUAAAAAUGACAUAAAAGCAUAUUAAAAAUGCAAAUACAAACCGUAAACGAGAAAAACAGAUUAGUUGAAAUCUUGAUUUGUUCCACUUUAGUCGUCUGAGAAAACCGAUUUCAAAGUCAAUUGCAAAAAUAACCUCUGCGUUGACCAGACGACUUCAAACUUGAUUCUGAAUGCUCAUCAUAUUGCCGAGAUUUGAAGGCAUAUCUGUAGAAAACGAGAAAUCCACUUCUGAACUUCGGUUUGAAUCCGAAUUUUUGAAAAUUGAAAUAUCAAACUGAGUGUAUCCAUCUCGUUCGUCUUUUACGAUCAUAUUAUGUAGAAUGAUACAUGCUCUCAUUAUCUUUCCAAUUUUUAUUUUAUCCCACAAAAGAGGUGGAUUUUUUACUAUGGCAAAUCGAGCUUGCAUGACCCCAAAACCUGAAAUUGGUUGUUCAUGAUGGUUGGGGUAUUGAUGACAAUGGCAAUAUUGUAAUUACUUGAAGAUGAUGAGGGUGAGAGAGUAAAAAUGUUAUUUUCGAAAAGAAAAAAAAUUGAUGGCAUUUUCGUAAAUUAUAUGAACUUGUGGGGUGAAUAGGGCAAAACCAAUUUCCAAAAAAAAGGAGGUUAGUUCUGUGUUUGACUUUAAGUUGUAGGUCAAUUCUGCCAAAAGCCUAAAUUUUUAUUAAAAAUGACAUAAAAGCAUAUUAAAAAUGCAAAUACAAACCGUAAACGAGAAAAACAGAUUAGUUGAAAUCUUGAUUUGUUCCAAAUUUUUGCCAUAUAUUCUCAACCAAAUCCGCUUUCAAUCGUUGAUGUAUUGUUCUAUCACAAACUUGAUUCUGAAUGCUCAUCAUAUUGCCGAGAUUUGAAGGCAUAUCUGUAGAAAACGAGAAAUCCACUUCUGAACUUCGGUUUGAAUCCGAAUUUUUGAAAAUUGAAAUAUCAAACUGAGUGUAUCCAUCUCGUUCGUCUUUUACGAUCAUAUUAUGUAGAAUGAUACAUGCUCUCAUUAUCUUUCCAAUUUUUAUUUUAUCCCACAAAAGAGGUGGAUUUUUUACUAUGGCAAAUCGAGCUUGCAUGACCCCAAAACCUCGCUCGACAUCUUUACGUACAGCUUCUUAAAGUGUAGCGAAUAAAGAUGCUUUUGGACCUUGCGGAAGUGGAAUAGAUUGGACAAAAGUAACCCAUUUUGGAUAAAUAUCAUAUGUGAGAUAGUAAGCCAUUUGGUACUCGUGUCCGUUGACAGUGUAGUUAACUUUCGGAGCUCGACCUUGUAAUAUAUCAUCAAAAACUGGUGAUUGAUCAAGAACAUUGAUAUCGUUUAAUGUGCCUAGAGGUCCGAAAAACGCGUGUCAUAUCCAGAGGUCUUGUGAAGCUACAACCUCUAGAACAAUUGUUGGCUUUCCUGAUCCACGUGUAUAUUGUCUUUUCCAUGCGGUUGGACAAUUCUUCCACUCCCAAUGCAUACAAUCAAUGCUUCCUAUCAUCCCGGGAAAUCCGCGUAGCUCUCCAAUAUCGAGUAGUCGUUGAAGAUCUUCUGGAGUGGGUCUUCUUAGAUACUCAUCUCCAAAUAAAUUUAUGAUUCCUUGAACAAAAUGUUCUAAGCAUAAAAGCGCGGUAGUCUCACCAAGUCAGAGGUAUUCGUCGACCGCAUCAGCUGGGCAACCAUAUGCCAUCAUACGAAUUGCUGCCAUUUUCUUUUGUAACGGAGAGAGACCGAACCUUCUAGUAGCAUCUCCUCUUUGUUGAAAGUAUGAUAUUUCAGCGGAGAGUCGAUCAACAAUACGCCUGAACAAGGAUUUGUUCAUUCGAAAACAGCAUUGAAACAUGUGCGAAGGAUAUGUUGCAUCUUCACUAAAAUAAUCGUUCCAUAACUGCAUGUGUCCUUGUUCUCGUUGUCUUUCAAUGUAUGCUCGUUUAUUUUUUGGCGUUGAUGUUUCUUGACGAUCUUCAUAACGAGUGAGAAGAUUUUCAAAUUGUUGAUCGAAAAUUUGGUCCAAUCUCUCCUCCAUCAUAUCUUCGUAAUUAUUAUUAGAAGAAGAAGCCAUUUAGAAGAGAAAUGGUAAAUGAAUUUUUUUUUUUUUUGUAUAAAAGAAAUGUUGGAUGUUGUUUUCUUGUACGAUGGAAAGAGAAGGGAGGUAAACAAAUAAAAGAGCUUCAAACUUGUUCUUCUACACUCAGAAAAAAAAGAAACAAAGGAAAUAUUUUUUUUUAAUAUGGUAUAAGAGAAAUGUUUGAUGUUGUUUUCUUGUACAAUGGAAAGAGAAGAGGGGUAAACAAAUAAAAGAGGUUCAAACUUGUUCUUCUACACUCGGAAAGAAAAGAAGCAAAGGAAAAUUUUUUUUUAAUGGUAGAAGAGAAAUGUUCUUUUACACUCGGAGGAAACACAACUUAGAAAGGAAACACAAGUUGCUUUACAACUUGCAAACCAGCUAUGCAGCACGUUGGUUUUCUUGUACUGUCUUCUUGUCUUUACAAGUCACAUGUUCCUGUCUUCUUGUUCUGUCAAUGCACUGGAUGAUCCACAUGCUACUUUAUGUCACACGCUCUUCUUGUCUUCUUUAUGUCACAUGCUAUUGUCGCUUUACCUGCACAAGCACGAGACAAGUCUCAGUACAACACGAGAGAACAACACACACGUCUCAGUACAAUACACGAGAGCAACAGAAGAACACACACAAUUUCAUUAAUAUGUCACAUGCUAAUACAAACUCGACAUCAAGCAUAAAGCAACGAGAGAGAGCAAAAGAAGAACACACACAAUUUCAUGCUAAUACAGACUCCAUUAACUAACAGACUCGACACAAACAUCAUAAAGACACAAACAACAUACAUACUUGGCAAUUUCAACACAAAAAUCAUAAGACUCAAACUAACAUAUCAUUAAUAAGCUUGUUUUUUAAGGCAAUUUCGAGUUCAGUUAAUGGUUCAGUCUUGGCAAUGAGGCUAUCAAGCAAUUUUUGCUUGUUAAGAGUUUCCUUCAAAGCAAAAUCCGCUUGCCUAAUCUCCCAGAUGCUCUGAAAUUCCCUCCUCUCCUUCUCUUCCUCUUCCAAAGUAGCUUGCUUCCUCACUGGUUUUUUUCCUUUUGCCUUUGCUGCUUAAACCCCAACUGGCCGACCCAUAGCUUCCUCUCCAUGGCCAUCUUGCACAGAGGAUGAUGAUUGUGUCGUCUGGGCAUCCAACUUCCUUCUUUUAGACUAAACUUUAUCCUUAGUAGAAGAAGCUCCACUCCAUUCCUGAUCAUAACGAAGUUCCAACCAUGCAUGCUCCAUUGUGAACUUCUUCUUGUAAUCAUCAAAGUAAAUCUCGUGAGCCAUUUUCAAGACGUCAUUCUCGUUCUGUCCACUCGAUCUCUGUUUCGUUGCAGCUUCAUAGCACCCAACAAACUUACACACGGCUUCAUUGAUUUUCCCCCACCUUGAUUUACAGUUGUUGUCUCUCUGGGCUGCAAACCAUCGAGCUUGGGACUUGCAGUAUAGUAAGCAGCAAUUCGUUUCCAAAACGUACUUGCUUUCUGCUCAUUCUCAACCACUGCAUCCUUGGAAGUGUUCAACCAAGCACUUAUCAGCACACCAUCUUCUGUUGGUGACCAUUUAUGCCUCUCUUUACGGUCAGACACAGUCUCUGCGUCUUCAUUGCCAUCUUCAUUCCAUUAUGAACAGAAAACAGAGGCAUCAGACGCAGAGACAGACUGAUAAGGCUCACGAGGGACAGACUAAUAAGGCUCAUGAGGGACAGACGCAGAGACUGACUCAUUCCAUUGAGUGUUUGGUUGUUGACUGGUCAAGAAGUUUUGAAAGCUAUAUUGUUGAAUAUAAGGAUCCAUACGAGUUUUGGAGAAGAGGUUUUGAAAGCUAAAAAGAAAGAACAAAAUAGAAGGAAAUAGUUUUGGAGAAGUAAAUAAAUUUGGAGUCAUGGUUUAUAGUUGUUAAAGUUUUUUGUUGUUGAAGUUUUAAUGGAAAGUUUUAAUGGCAAGUUUAAAGUUUGAAGUUGGAGAAGUUUUAAGUUGUUAAAGUUUUAAUGACAAGAGAAUCAAUAUCCCUUUAUUAUUAUUUGAGGAGCAUUAUAGAUAAUUAACUUUUAGUUCAUGUGUUAUUUUCAAAAUUGUCAUUUCCUGCGUGGCAGCACCAUAAACCCUCUCACAUCUUAUAUUCAAAAAUCAUUUGUUAACUAGAUUAAUUACAAUAAUUGUCAUUGCUUGCCAUUGAUCAUUUGAUUAUAAUUUUACUAAUAUACUGUAAGCUUCUUCAUUACAAUGACUAACAAAACAUUGACGUCCAUGUUUAAUGCGUUUUCAUUAUAAUUCAAACUUACGGGCGUAUAGUCAUUUAUUCCCAGAUCCGGUCCACAAAGUUAAUUAUAUAUGAGAUAACGAUUUUGUAGAUGGUAUAAUCCGAUACAUAUAUAACUAAAAUAAGUAUAAUUUAUAACACGUGUAUGUGGACCAUCUAUAAUGAUUCGGAUUAUACCAUUAUGUGCAUAUGUAUCGGAUUUAAUGUAACAAAAUAUUACCGUUAAAAUUAUAAUCUCUUCACAAUGUUAGCAGAACUCUAACAUAUGUUAUAAAUUAUACUUAUUAUAGUUAAUAUUUAAAUAGAGUGAGACAAAAAUAUAUGCACACGUUUUUACAAGUAUUCAUCAUAUAGCAUUUUAUAAUAUGUUAGACAUUAUAUAUAUAAAUGUGAUAUAAGUAUAAUGCCUAACUAUAGUCUAAUUCAAAAAAAUGUCUAACUAUAGUGUCUACAAAUUAAUUUCGUUUAAGGACUUAUCGUAACAAGGGGAUGUCUAACUAUUACGAAAUCACGAUGGCCCAUAUAACUCCGUUUAAGGACUUAUCAUAAUUGUAAUUGUAAACCAUGAUUAAUGAUUGCUACGAAAUCACGACGUCUAACUAUUAAUAUUAAAAAGAAACAUGAUUUGCAAUAACUUUGUUCAAAUCUGGGUGAAAGUUAAAAAGACACUUCUAAUAACGUUGCAAUAUAUAUGAUAUAUAUGAAAGUUGAAAGGAAACUUCUAAUAAUUUUAGUUGUUCUAUCUCUUAAUGAAACGUGAUUUGCAAGGACAACCGUAAUUAAUGAUUGUUAAAAGGAAACUUCUAAUAACUUUGAUAUAUUUUUAAAUUACGAAUUUGGUAACGUUUUGGUAAUAAUACUUGAAUCAAAUCCGCCAUUAUUUUUUAUAAAAUUUUGGUAAUAAUAGGGAGUCGAUUAUGGUUACAAAAUUUUGUCAACUAUUAAUAUGUUGUAUAUAAGGAAGUUAUAUUGUGGAUUCAAAUUAUUCGAAUCAAUUAACAAUCGUGAAUUUUAUUUAUUUUGUUCAAUUGUAAUUUAUAAAAGGAAGUUCGAUUAUAGUGUCUACAAAAUUUAGGUAAGUUACGAUUACCAUUGGAGCCCAAGUUAUGUGAAAUUAAAUACAGUAGAACAUCUAUAAAUUAAUAAUGUUGAGAUUUUGAAAUUUAAUUAAUUUAUAGAGAUAUUAAUGUACAAAAGUUUCCUUAUUUAGAUUUUUUAUUUUAAGAUAUAUUUAUUCUAAGAUAAAAAAAAAUAUUUGAUUUUAGUGUAUAAACAUUAAUUAUUAUUUUUUGAAAAUUCACAUUUAUAUUAAUUUUAUUAUAUUAUUUGGUGUAUAUAAUAUAUAUCGCAUAGAAGUUAAAUGUGCUUUUAGAUAUAAUAUUACUAAAUCUCAUCAAAAUUUAUUAAGUGUUAAGAAAAUAUAAAGAUAAUUCUAUUGUGAAUAUAAAACAAACAAUAUAAUAGUAGGUUCUUACUUAUAUAAAAUAUGUAUAUAUAGAAAUUAUUAAUUUAUAAUUUUAAUGGGACCAUAUAUUUACAUAGAAUUUUCUAAAAAAUUAUUAUCUUAUUAUUUUAUCUAUUGUGUCAAAUUUUGAACCGACCCAAGUUGGGAUCGGCAAAAUUUAUUAAUUUAUAGAGAUUAUUAAUUUAUUGAGUAUUAAUUUAUAGAGGUUCUAGAGUAUGUAAUAAUAUAUUUAAUUACAGUGUAUCAUUAAUCACAUGGGCGCUGCCUUCUUAAUAUAAAUAUAUGUUCUCUAAAAUUCAUCGACUCACCACACACUUCUUCUCGACUUCCUAAUUAUCAAAACAUUCUCUGGAGCAAACAAAUGGUUGGCUUUAACUCCGUUUCAGAAAGUGGUAUAUCAGUUCGUUUAGUGAAUUUUUUAAGUAUGUAUGUUUUGUUCGGUAAACUAAUUCUUAGUUAUUUCUCUCUAUAGGAUUGCAAACCAGAAGUUCUGAAGACCCUUUAUCAGUUUUUUAUUUGUUUCCUUGUAAUUUGUUUCUUUCGUAUUUUAUUUUUCUAUUACUUAUGUUUUAAAUAUUAUAAUCAUAAUUUUAUUUAUGAAAUCAAUAAUUAUAUUUCCUAUGUUUUGUUUUGUCUUAAAUUCAUAAUAAAUUAAUAAAAGUUAUUGCAUACUAUUAUAUAUUUUUUACAUAAAAUAUAUCUAAUUUACACAUAACCAACUACAAAAAACAAUCUUUUUCAAAAAAAAAACAAUAUUUUUCAAAAAAAACACUUAAGAUUACAUUAUAUUCACACUUUCGUUCCAUAUAUAUCAUUAGAUCUAAUAUUUUUGUCUAUAACUUUAAAAUUUCUAAUAUCUGUAAAAUUAUUUAAAAAAAUUUCUUUUGAUCAUUCACUCCGCGUAUGGCGUGGGUUAUCACUUAGUGUAUACGCUAAAACAACCACGCAACCUAAAUAUCAAAACUAAAGUUCAUUUAAUUCUCAACCAUUUUCUAAAUCACGUAAUCAAUAUCAUGCUCACCAUUAAAAGCAAAUCUACUUAGACAGAAAAUCUACCUUACCUCUUCUUAACUCUGAAAUUAAAAGACAUAAGCUUUGAUGACCAUGAAUCCAUUGCCUUUCUUCCACAACCAACAAAGAAAGUAAAAUUAAAAGUUAUUCUCUGUAAAGAAAUAAAAUGAGUCAAAUUACACAGUAAGAGUAAUGUGACAAAUAUCAUAUGAUAUCGGCGAUGACUUUGGCGAAAGCGAUUUUUAGGGUUCCAAGAUGAUUUUUUCACGGUGGCGAGUUAUGGAUCGGCGACGGAUCCGAGAGGGUGGAGAGAGGGCUUUAUGCUAUAGGGAAGCUGAGGAGGAGUCUCGGGUUAGUGAGGGAUUUUGUGGGUUUAAUCGAUCUCGGGAGAUCUGGUUAGGUGAUUUGAGGGGUUGCGAUAAUCUCUUACAAGGAUUGGACUUGGUAAUCUUCAUUUUACGAGGAGGAGAGGCUACAAGGGAUGAGGAGGACAGGGAAACUUUUGGUACUAGAUCGGGAUUUGGAUUGAUGGUCAUUUUCCGGAGUGGUUUGCGGUUCCUAGGUUGGAAGAGAGGAGAUAGGGGUGGAUCGGGUAGGAAGGGUCCUGUGCUGCUGAUCACGUAUUCUUGGAUGACAAGGAGUUUUCAAACUUUCACUAUAUUAUUCCCAACUCAAGGCUUAAUAAAGGACACAAGCAGAAGUGAGCAGGUUCUCAUUGCUGCUUUUGGAAGGGUAGUGUUCUACUUUGCUUGGACACGAGAUAGCUUUACAAUCAGGUUUUACUAUUUAUAUGCACUGUUUGCUUGGCAUGAUGCUUAUUGGUAUGAGGAUAUAAGAAAAGUGUUUCAAGCUCGAGGAUGGUAUCUUGCGUCUUUAAGUUCGGUGAUAUUGGUUUCAUUAGACAAGAAUAUGGAGAGGAGCCAGUUCGGCCAAGUGACAAUGGUCACUGUAAUGGGUGUGGGGUCUGCUUUGAAUGACAUGGGGUUAAUGCGAUGGUCUCAGGGUGCUAAUGAGGAGGAUUUUUUCUUAUCUCAUGAUUGGGUUAAAAGGCUUAUGUGUCUUAGUGGUUCCGUACAUUUUGUUUUCAUAUUUUUAAUUUUUUGGGUAAUGUUUACUAAUGCAGUUUUACUUGGAUGUUUUGGACUUUAUGGGAGCCAAAUAUGGUAUGCUUGGGUUUUAAAAGGGUGCUUACUAAUUUGUAGUUUGCUUGGGGGUUGGAAUGCAUGGAAUAAAUUUGUUGACUUUGGUGUUUGGAUUUGUUUCAAAUCGUUGCAACGAAGGGAUCAGAAUUUUUUACUUAUGCAAUUUGAUGUUCAUGGGAGGGAAAUAAAGGAGUUGGUACAUAUGUGUUUUGUUGGUUUUGGGAUGUGGCUCGGGACAGAGCAGAACGCUUUGGCUGCACGGACUCGAGGCCUGCGGCUGGUCUCUUUAAACCAGUUGCAGAGAGUUUCUUUGGAGAGGCUUAAAGUGCUCGUUUUGGGAACAUACAGUUCAGUCAUUGUUAUUGGUUCAGGAGCUUCCACAGACUUAUAUAUGUCGUACGUGAAGCGUGUGAUUUAUCUGUUUGGUUUCUUUAUUAUAGUUUAUAUGUUUGGUUUCUCUAUUAUGGUUUUUAUUGGACCCAAUUUAAAGGGUGAGGUUGAGCUGGACAUAAUGUAUAGACUUGGAAUGGAGCAAGGGUCUAUUUUUUUCAUAUUGAAGCUGUUUACUAUGACGGUUAAUUUGGGAGUUCGGUGGAUUAUUGCUUCUUGGUGGUUGGGAUUUCAGGGUAUCAUCAAACCUAAUUUCGCUAAACUCUUGGGAGUUUUUAUUUAUAACUUUAAAUGAGAGUGCUUAGUUGGAAUUGUAGAGGUAUGGGAAGCAAGUGGACUAUGAGCUAUCUAAGAGAGAUAUGGUAUAAACAUAAACCGGAUUUUUUAUUUUUAUCUGAAACAAAACAAGACUCAAAAUUUGUUCAAGAUUUCCAAGCACAUAUUGGAUUUGAUAAUUUGUUCACGGUUGAUCCAUUGGGAAGGAGUGGUGGUUUAGCGCUUUUUUACAACAAUGAUUCUCAGGUCCAAGUCUUAUAUUCUAGUAAUAGAAUGAUCGAUGUGGAAGCGGUGACCCACGGAAAGACGGUUUAUCUUACGUUUGUGUAUGGUGAUCCUGUUCCAAAAUUAAGAGAACAAGUGUGGGAACGUUUGACGAGAUAUGGACUUGCGCGUUCAGAACCCUGGUUCAUCAUUGGGGAUUUAAAUGAGAUUACUGGAAAUCAUGAAAAGGAUGGAGGAUCACUGAGGAGUGCGGAUUCUUUUAUUCCUUUUAAUAAUAUGAUAAGGAAUACUGGGUUAUUGGAAUUUCCGGCACGGGGAAAUAAAAUGUCAUGGCAAGGGAGAAGGGGAAAAGGAAAAGGGGCAGUUACGGUAAGAUGUCGUCUAGAUCGAGCUUUAGCAAAUGAGGAGUGGCAUACUUUGUUUCCAUGUUCUUUUACAGAAUACUUAGGGAUGGUGGCUUCUGAUCAUCGCCCAGUUGUGGCUUAUCUGAAUGAUAAAGUCACUAGGAGAAAAGGGCAAUUUCGGUUUGAUAAAAGAUGGAUUGCACAAGAAGGUCUUUUGGAAUCAAUUACAAUGGGCUGGUCAGAUUAUAGUGCAACAAGGGAAACUGGGAUAGUGGAAAAAAUUAGUAAUUGUCGACAUGAAAUUGCUAAAUGGCGGAAAAAUAAUCCUCCUUAUGGGAAGGACAAAAUUAAUGAGUUACAAAAAGCUCUUGAAGAGGUACAAACAGAUAAUUCUAGAUCUCAAGAGGAUAUUAUCGAGGUCUCAAAGAAGUUGCAAGAUGCAUAUAAAGAUGAAGAGGAGUAUUGGCACCAAAAGAGUAGGAAUACGUGGUAUACAUCUGGGGAUCUCAAUACAAAAUUCUAUCAUGCUUUGACUAAGCAACGACGGGUACGUAAUCGGAUUGUGGGUUUAUAUGAUGCUUUGGGAAAUUGGAUUACGGAAGAUAUGGGUGUGGAAAAAGUGGCAGUGGACUAUUUCGAAGAGCUUUUCACUACCACUUCUCCAACGGAGUUUGAUGACUUUCUCACAGAGGUAUCACCAGGUAUUACUCCUCAAAUGAACCAACGUCUGUUAAGAGUAGCAUCAGAGGAUGAGGUCAGAGAAGCCCUUUUUAUGAUGCAUCCAGAGAAGGCACCAGGACCGGAUGGUAUGACAGCUCUUUUCUUUCAACACUCCUGGCAUAUUAUUAAGAAGGACUUGGUGGACAUGGUGAAUAAUUUUUUGGUUACUGGAACAUUGGAUCCGAGGUUAAAUAUUACUAAUAUUUGUAUGAUUCCAAAAACGGAGAGGCCUACAAGGAUGACAGAACUGAGGCCGAUUAGUCUGUGUAAUGUUGGGUAUAAAAUUAUUUCGAAGGUUCUGUGUCAGAGAUUGAAGAUAUGUCUACCUUCUCUUAUUUCAGAAACUCAGUCAGCUUUUGUGCCAGGAAGGUUAAUCUCUGAUAAUAUUCUUAUUGCUCAGGAAAUGUUUCAUGGAUUACGGACGAACAAGGCGUGCAAAGGAAAAUAUAUGGCAAUUAAAACGGACAUGAGUAAAGCUUAUGAUAGAGUGGAAUGGGAUUUUAUAAAGGCUCUCCUACAGAAGAUGGGUUUUGAUUUUCAUUGGAUUACAUUAAUGAUGGAGUGUAUAUCAUCGGUUCAAUAUCGGGUCCUACUUAAUGGACAGCCACGGGGACUUAUCGUUCCACAUAGGGGUUUACGACAAGGGGAUCCUUUAUCACCUUAUUUAUUUAUCCUGUGUACUGAGGCUCUAAUUGCAAAUAUUAAAAAGGCGGAAAGAAGGAAACUUUUGACGGGAAUGAAGGUAGCUAGAGCAUGUCCAUCGAUAUCUCAUCUGCUUUUUGCGGAUGAUAGUCUUUUUUUCUGUAAAGCUUUGAAAGAGGAAUGCCAUACUAUCCUUAGGAUCUUAAAGGAAUAUGAGGUUGUAUCAGGUCAGCUUAUAAACUUUGAUAAGUCCUCUAUCCAAUUCGGGCACAAUAUUGAGGAAUCAACUAGACAGGACUUAAGAGAUAUAUUGGGAAUUCAGAAUCUUGGAGGUAUGGGAUCUUAUCUAGGUCUUCCAGAAAAUUUGGGAGGAUCCAAGAUACAGGUUUUUAGCUUUGUGCAGGACCGGCUAAAUAAUAGGGUUAAUGGUUGGACUUUUAAGUUCUUCACAAAGGGAGGAAAAGAAGUGAUUAUUAAAUCUGUGGUAACGGCAUUACCAAACCAUGUGAUGUCUGUUUACCGUUUACCUAAGGCAACAACUAAAAAACUGACGACCGCGGUCGCACAAUUCUGGUGGAGCCCAGGGGGAAGGACAAGAGGUAUGCACUGGAAAUCAUGGGAUAAAGUGUGUCUUGAUAAGGAAGCUGGGGGCUUAGGUUUCAAGGAUAUUACAGAUUUUAAUACAGCAAUGCUUGGUAAACAGUUGUGGCGCUUGAUCGAGAAGCCAAAUACAUUAUUUUCCCGGGUUUUUAAGGGACGGUAUUACAGGAAUGCAUCACCCCUGGAACCGAUUCGCUCUUAUUCUCCGUCAUAUGGUUGGCGGAGUAUAGUUUCUGCUAGAUCUCUGGUAAGCAAAGGACUAAUCAAAAGGGUGGGAUCAGGAUCAUCUAUAUCUGUAUGGAACGAUCCAUGGCUCCCAACCACUCGCCCGAGACCAGCAAAUAAAAAUCAACAUAUUUUCGAUCCAAACCUCACAGUGGAUUCUCUUAUUGACUCUACUUCGCGGACAUGGAAUUCGCAUGCACUCAGGGCUAUGAUAGAUCCCCAGGAUGUAAAAAUUAUAGAAAGUAUACCACUGAGUAAAACCCAGAUGGUGGACAGGGAUGGAUGGCAUUUCACAAACAAUGGGAAGUAUACGGUUAAAUCAGGAUAUCAGAUCGAACGGGUUUAUCCAGACAGGGAAAGACCACCUUUAAAGUUUGGACCCACGGUUGAUGCUUUGAAGGCUUUCUGCUGGAAAAUACGGUGCCCCCCAAAGUUAAAACAUUUCUUAUGGCAAUUGGUUACAGGUUGUAUAGCAGUCAAGAAGAAUCUGAAAGCGAGAGGAAUACAAGGUGACACCUGCUGUGCACGUUGCGGAGCGGAGGAGGAAUCGAUCAAUCAUGUGUUUUUUGAAUGUCCUCCUGCACUUCAGGUUUGGGCUCUCUCCAAGAUACCAUCAAAUCCAACUAUGUUCCCAACGAGUUCCCUUUUUACAAAUAUGGAUCAUCUCUUCUGGAGAGUCUCUCCCCCGAUGGAGGACCAUCAAUUUGCAUGGAUACUUUGGUAUAUUUGGAAAGGAAGGAACAAUAAAGUGUUCAGUAAUAUGGACAUGGAUCCAAGAGACACGCUCAAAUUAGCAGAAACAGAGUCAACACUUUGGGCUAAUGCACAUGUAUUGACCGAGACCAGGAUAGGGUCCCAUGUUGAGGUUACGACUCUCCCAUCAAUUCCGGGGAGAUGGUGUUUUACAGAUGGUUCUUGGAAGGAGAAUGAAGUUUUCUCUGGGCAAGGUUGGCUAAGUACUUUAGAAGGCUUUGAUGGGUUGUUAGGAGCAAGGAAUGUCCGAGCUUGUCUAUCCCCUCUACAUGCGGAGAUAGAAGCACUACUUUGGGCAAUGGAAUGUAUGAAAAAUUUACGCCAGUUUCAGGUUACAUUUGCAACGGAUUGUUCUAAGUUGGUGAAGAUGGUUUCGGAACCAGAAGAAUGGCCCGCAUUUGCAAGUUAUUUGGAAGAUAUUAAGUCCCUGAAAGAGGUUUUCACACGUUCGGAGAUUAUCUAUGUACCAAGGAUGCAAAAUUCAAGAGCGGAUAGCCUAGCACGCAGUGCCAGGAAACAACCGUUGUUUGUCGUUCACAUGGAUCAAAAUCUACCGGAGUGGUUUACAGAGUCAGUAUGAGUCUGUAUUUGAUGACAAAAAAAAAAACGUAAAAUUUUAUAUUUUCAUAGAGUUUUUUUUAAAAAAAAAAAAAAAAAAAAAAAAAAGAAAUAAAAUGAUCAAAUAUAUAUAAAAAAUUAUCGAUAAUAUAUACAAAUUAUAUACAAAUAAGCUUAUCAUGCGCAUGGUGCAAGUUUUAUCCUAGUUACAUAUCGAAUGAGACGCAUUUAAUUUUGACCAUGACUAUAUAUAUCAACUUUAACUCAAUAUUUCUGAUUAAGCUCCCAAUAUAUAUUUUCAACUACCUCCAGAGUAUAUAGACUCUCAUCCCACUUAAUGAAUGUUUUUAUUUUAUUUUAUGAAGUUAAGUUUUUACCUUCUUUUUUAAAAAAAUAUCGUUCAUAAGAUGUCACGCCAGGACAUGAACUACACAUGCGUCACACAUAGCAUGCAGAUGCGGACGAUUGUUUUUGUUCGUCAUUUGUCAAUCACUUCAAACACCUAAGAGCUUCUCUUUCACAGAACACACACACACACACACAAUCAUAUGCAUGCAUUAUUACACGUGAUCGCCAUGCAAAUCUCAUUUCUCACCUAUAAAUUAACUCCUCAGCUUCACUCUUUACUCACACCAAAACUCAUCAUUACAAACAAGGUUAAACACAUACACAAAUGGCGAACAAGCUCUUCCUCGUCUCGGCAACUCUCGCCUUCUUCUUCCUUCUCACCAAUGCCUCCGUCUACAGGACGGUUGUGGAAGUCGACGAAGAUGAUGCCACAAACCCAGGCGGCCCAUUUAGGAUUCCAAAGUGUAGGAAGGAGUUUCAGCAAGCACAACACCUAAGAGCUUGCCAACAAUGGCUCCACAAGCAGGCAAUGCAGUCCGGUAGUGGUCCUAGCUUGGCCCUCGCCGGUGAGUUUGAUUUUGAAGACGACAUGGAGAACCCCCAGGGCUCACAGCAGAGGCCGCCACUACUCCAGCAGUGCUGCAACGAGCUCCACCAGGAAGAGCCACUUUGCGUUUGUCCAACCUUGAAAGGAGCAUCCAAAGCAGUUAAAUCCCGGGUUCAACAACAGGGACAAAUGCAGGGACAACAGCAGCAGCAAAUAGUGGGCCGUAUCUACCAGACCGCUAAGCACUUACCUAGAGUUUGCAACAUCCCGCAAGUUAGCGUUUGUCCCUUCCAGAAGACCACCCCUGGGCCCUACUACUAGAUUCCAACGAAACCCUCGAGAGUGUAUAUACCACGGUGAUGAGUGUGGUCGUUGAUGUAUGUUAACACUAAAAAGUCAUCGUGUGUGUUUUAUAAAUAAUGUACGUUAAAAUGUUCGAGGCUAAUGUAAUAAGAACUACUCCGUUGACGGUAAUAAAAGAGAAGUUUUUUUUAUACUGUUGCUCCAUCCUAAAAAGUGAUAAUUAACGACAGAUACGCCCAAAAAAACAAAUUAAUAUACUCACAAUGAAUCAGUAGUCUAAUGAACAUGUUAGACUAAAUGUCUAAUUAAGCCGUUUUUGCCAAAAAAAAAAGGGUUCAAAUCGUCCAUUGGGAUCAAACAAUGACUCAAUCAGGUUUGAUCAGAUACUCGAAAUCCUUUUUGAUCGCAUUCUCAUGAAUCCACUGUAAUAUAACGAUUUCCUAUGUUGUAAAGCCUCUUUAGUAGAAAAAUAACGAUAAGCAGCAAUAUAAAUGUAUUUCAGUUUAAGAUUAGCACUACAAGAAAUUUGGGUUUUAAUAGCAGACUAGUAUAGCAUUUUUUUCGAUUGUGCUAUUGUUGACAUACCUCUUACUUUUAGAUAGCGUUUGUGAAAAUGCAAAUACUAUCUUUGGUUGGUCCGAUUUUAGGAGGAACCCCUAUCCCGGAGCCAAUCCCCUAUUGGUCCUGCGUAAAUGUUUUUUCUAAACCUAGUAUACAUAGCAUUUUCAGUUUUGAAACGCAAUGCAUAAUUAAAAUAAUUGAUUUUUCCUUUCACCCUUGUUUCGCUUUCCUACUCACUAUAUUUUAUUUGCCUCCAAAAACCUUAACACUAAAUUUAAACCCUAAAGUUUUAACACAAUCCCUAAACUCUAAAUAAACUUUAAAUUCUAAAAUUUUAACAUUAAAUCUUAAAUUUAACUUCAUAUCUUAAAUAUAAACUAAAAAAUUACUAUUUUCAAAAGUUAAUCUCAAAUCUUAAAUCAAUACUCCAAACCCUUAACCCUCAAACCCUAUACUCAAAACUUUAUUCUAAACUCCAAACUUUAAAUCUAAAUUCAUAUCAAACUUUUCUAAAAUUUAAUACACUACAAUUUUUAACUACAUGCUAGUCUUAACUUAUAUAUAUAUAUAUAUGUGUAUUUUGCAAAUCUUGAAUUUUGGAGUUUAGGGUAUGUUUAGAGUUAAGAUCUAAAUUUAAAUCUGAAAAAAUUCAAGUUUUUAGAACUAUGUACAUAUCUACUUUAAAUGAAUUAAACAUAGAAUUUUAAUCAAACUUAUAAUAAACAUUAAAAUUAAAGAAAGAUUAGAAACAAAAAAAAUCUGUCGAUGUACAACAAGAUAUAGAACCAAAAUACUACCAAAAUAAACUUUACUGUCCAAAGUGAAAAUAAAGUAAAACAACUAAAAGAAAAAAUUCCUAUUGGUUAGUUCAUAAGCACAAGGAUUGAGCUUUUCACCGUCAGAUGACGGGAUCCUCAUCCAAUGGACCAAAAUUAUUUUUUUAUUCAGUUCUGGAAUUUUUUGAGCAAACAGAUCUCAUAUCUUUCGACACAUUCUCUUAGACAACUUCAUCUCCUCAUCUCUUUCUCCUUAGGCUUUAUUCACUACUAGCCCCCUCAUUCUCUUUGCCAAUCUCUGCUCCAUUUCUCUCUACCCUCGCGAGAUCUCUGCUCCAUGACUCAUCUUCUCUCCCUUUGUCGAUUUAUCUUUUCUUCAUCUUCUUCUCUCUUAUCAAGAAUACUAGAUCUAGAAGCAGAGGCUAAGCAUCGAUGUUUCUCACGAUACUGACAAAUCUCAUUCCGCCGCGAGACGCGGCUGAGGUGGUCGACGACUCCGACACUCGCGGUACUCUCUCUCUCUCUCUCUCUCUCUCUCUAUGUUGAAUAUGACUUUUUUGUUUGUUAAGGUGGUCGCGAGCAGAGAUGGUGGUGCGGCGGGUGAGGACUGGAAGAUGAAGAAGACAACGAAGUGCAUGGAUUGAUGCGACAACGAAGCGCAUGGAAGAACACAACGACGAAGGUGGUGGUGCGAUGGGUGAGGAUUGGAAGAUGAAGACUACAACGAAGGUGGUUGUGCGGCGGAGUUUAGUUAGUAAUUAGGUUAAAGCUUAGUUUAGCUUUUGGUUUAUUAUUUAAUUAGAUUUAUUUUUAUAUUUUUGUAAUCCAAUUUAAUUAUAAAUCAAUUUAAGUAAUAAAGAAAUUUUAAAUCUAUGAAUUAAUUUUAAUUAUGUUUUUAUUUUUAAAUAAUUUACUAAAAAUAAAUAUAAAAUAAAUAAUUUUAAUAUAAAUAAUAACAAAAAACAAACACUAUUAAAAAAUGUUUAAUUGCAUACAAAAAAAUGCUAUAAUAUAUGACAAUAAGAUAGCAUCACGAAAAACCGCUAUCUAAUGUGCUUGACCUACUAUGACGGACGAUGAUACAGCGCUUCAUAAACCGCUAUCGUAUCAUUAGAUAGCGUUUUUCGCCCGCUAAGAAAAACUUUUUUUCUUGUAGUGAUAUAGUUGUUUUCAUCACAGCAUAGCAUGAUAAAAAAUGAUCACUUAACAAAUAUAAUGAUUUUGUUUAUCUAAUGCUUGUCUAUUCAAGAUUUAGAACAUUAAUGUGAUGUUUUGUCCACACAUUGAUAACGCAGACACACUUAAGGUUAACUAGAGAUUGAUCCGCACAUCUGCGCGGAUAUUGAUUCUUACAUUUUUAUACAUUGAUAUUUAUUUUUCAUAAUUAAUGUUAUAUAUUUUACAUGGGUCUUAAUAUAACUAAUUGUAUUCAAAUGAUCUAGACCGAAUAGGGUAAUAUUGUUAUUUUUGGUACAAAUAUCCUAAUCGAUUUCAGAUACAUUUGUAAUUUAGAUAUUUUUAGGUUUAUAUACAUCAUUACCAAACUCAUCCAUACCGAGAAGAACCCAACUCAAAAUCCACACAUAAAUUUAUAAUCAAGUGGGACCUAAUUUCAAAAAAAAGCGAUACCCGAAAAGAACAGCCCGUACUUAAUUGGAUAGCCAAUGUUCAUGCGUUACUGAUUUUAUAAACUAAUAAAAAUGACUCUAACUGAUUUUAUAAACUAAUAAAAAUGAUUAUUUCUAUGUGUUUGGUUAAAUUAAGUGAAAUAGAAAGAGUUUUUUAUUUAGUAAAAUAAUUAUAUGGAUUGAAAAAUUAAGUGAUAAAAAAUGUAAUACAUUUUUAUUACAUUGAUUUAAGUUAUUAUUUUAUUCAUAAAAACAUGUCUUUGAAUUAUUUUUUGGCUUCGUAAUUUUCCACCGAUUGAAACUAAAAUAAAUAAAUAAAUUUUAAUAAAACAAACUAAACCGAAAGUUUAAACAUAUGAAAAACUCAGUUAUUUUACAUUUUUGAUUUUAUAAUUGGCACAAAAUUAAUAUUAAUUAACUAAUAAAUAAAAAUCUGCUAUAUUAUUAUUAUGGUAAUAUAAUUAAUGAUGUGAUGUAUUGAUAAGAUAAUAUAAUUAAUGAAAUUGUUAAACUGAGUGAAAUAUGGAAAGACAAUUAAUGUAAUUAUAUUAAUGAAACUAAUAAAAAGACAUUAUACUUCUUUUUUAUACUAUUAUCCAUGUUUUCAAAAAAUUCUUAUUUAUAAUGAUAUUCAUGUUUUCAAACAAUAUCAAAUAGAUACUUCAAUUUUAAUAAUAACUAGAUCUUGAUCCGUGCGUCCGUACGGGUGUUUGCUUUAAUUUGUAAGAACAUUAUAAAAUUCAUAACUAUUUUAAAAAUUAUGGUAUCGUUAUAUAUUAAAGUUUGACUAUUAUUGUAUUUGUAAUAUGAAUAAAGGAAUACUAAUACAUUCAUAUAUUAAUAUUUUUGUUUCAUUGUUUAUUUGAUAUUAUAACCCAAAUAUUAUAGUUAUUUAUAGUAUUGUAUAUUUAAUUCUAUUUCGGUGGUCCAUAAAAAAAUUAGAAAGAAUGUUUACUCAAUCUAUUAGAUCCUUCGUAUUGUAUUUUUUUAUAUAUAUAUUGAAAACAAUUUUAUAAUGGUUGUUGAAAAAUAAAUUUGUAAAAAUUAAAUUUUGAAUACAUGUAUAUUUUUGAAUCAAUUUUUGUUUUGAAUUUUGUUUAAUGAUUAAUUUAGAAAAAUAUGUUUUUAGUUAAUUAGAUUCGAUCAGUUGCACAAAAAAAAGUAAUUAGAUUGAGUCAUUUUUGAAAUCUGGUCGAAACAGAUAAUUUAUAAAAAUAUAAUGGACAUCAAUUUUUUUAAUAACAUAAACCCAUUAUUUUUUUUAAUAUACUGUUAUUCAUAUUUUCACACAACAUUAUAUUUCUUUUUAAUUAUGUUAUUCUUGUUUCCAAGCAUUUCCAAAGGUACUUCUACUUUAAUAAGAUAAAAGAUAUAAUAUUGCAAAAAUAUGUUGUUAUUUAUUUUUUCAUGUCACUAUUAAAUAUAAUAUAUGUCUCAUCAUAUAAUUAAUCGUGUUUUUUACCUACCAUCAUAUAAGUAAUCAUAUAAUUAAUAGUAUUUUAUAUGUAUCAUCAUAUAAAUAAUUAUAAAUAUUAUAUUUUUAAAACUUAAUAUGAAAUAUAAAAAUCAUAAUUUACGUUGGUGAUUGAAAUUGCUUUGUAUUGAAUUUUUCUUAAAUAAUUUAAAACAUUUUUAUAAUGGUUAUAAAAAACAUUUUAGUAAAAUAAAUUUUUGAGUAUAUGUAUAUUUUUGAAUCAAUUUUUGAGAUAAAUUAAUUUUAAAUUAAUAUUUUGAUUUGAAAUAUGUCUAUAAAAUUUAAAUUUUGUUUUAUGAUUAUUUUAGACAAAAAUAUUUUUAAGUAAUUAGAUUGGGCUAGCCAUUUUCGUAUAUUUUAAAGCUGACUCAUAUAUAUUGUUUUCAUAAUAUAAUGAAUUCCCAAUUUUUCUUGAUAACGUAAGCCCUUUACUUUUUUUCUUUAAUAUAUUGUUAUUCAUGUUUCCAAACAACACUAUAUAUUUUUUUAACUUCUAUCUUCUUUUUUUGUCAUCAACGUAUAUACAUACUCAUACAGACUCUGUGAACCAAGCCGGGAGAUGUUGAUCCAUGUGAACGACGAAAGACGGUUGCUUUCUGACACUACGUGCUAGGCUAUCCGCCUUUGUAUUUUGCGUUCUUGGUACAUGGACAAUCUCUGAUCGGAGAAAACUUUCUUUCAGGAAUUUAAUAUCUUCUAAAUAACUUGCAAAAUCUGGUCAUUUUUCUGAUUCCAAAACCAUCUUCACCAAUUGAGAACAAUCCAUUGCAAACGUAACCUGAAAUUGACGUAAAUUCCUCAUACAUUCCAUUGCCUAGAGUAGUGCUUCCAUCUCCGCAUAGAGAGGAGAUAGACUAGCCCGAACAUUCCUCGCCCUCAUCUGCCCAUCAAAACCUUCUAAAGUACUGAACCAACCAUGUCCGGAGAAAACGUCUUUCUCUUUUCAGGAACCAUCUGUGAAACACCAUCUACCUGGAAUUAACGGUAAUGACUAACCUCUACCUGUGAUACUAUCCUCUGUUUCUUUGCUAUAUGCGCUUCAGUCCAAAGUGUGGACUAUGUUUCUGCUAAUUUUAAAUUCUAUCUAUGUUACCAAACAAAAACUUAAAGUACUUCUACUUUAAUAAGAUAGAUAUAAUAUAGAUAUAAGUUAUAUAAAGAUUAAGCACCAACAUUAAGUCAAGUAGUGACCACGUUUAGGUUUCAAGACAACUUCUUCUCUUGUUUCUGGCCUUGGAGGAGAAAAUCACAUCCAAGACUCAAGCGAUAAUUCAACCGCACCGCAGUACCUGCAAAAUAUGUAGAGUUAUUCUUGGGUUCACCCUCAAGAGGUUCACCAACUAAUAGGAUUUCAUUAUUUUAAAUUCGAUAUUUUUUAGAAAAGAAAACAAAAUAUUAUCAGGUUAUAUUAUAUUUUUAAAAUAAAAAAUAGUAGUUACAGAAAAAAAAUUUAAAAAAAUAUUUUUGACGUCGUCAGCAAAACAUUAAACCCUAAAUUCUAAUCCCUAAACUCUAAAUCCGAAACUCUAAACCCUUGGAUAAAUUAUAAACUCUAAAUCAAAAACAAUAAACACUAAAACCCUAAACCAUAAAUCCUAAACCCUAAACCUUUGAGCGUUUUAGUGUUUAAUAUUUUUGAUUUAGAGUUUAGGAUUUAUCCAAGGGUUUAAGAUUUACCCAAGGGUUUAGGUUUUAGGAUUUGGGGUUUAAGGAUUAGGAUUUAGUUUUUUCUUGACGAUGUUAAAAGUAUUUUUUUUGUAAUUACUACUAUUUUUAAUUUAUUUUUUAUUUUAAAUAUAUAAUAUAACCUGAUAAUACUUUGUUUCUUUUAAUAAAAGAUAUCGAAUUUGAAAUAACACAAUCCUAUUGGUUGGUGAACCUAGAGGUUCGCCCUAGGGGGCGAACCCAAGAAUAAGUCAAAUAUGUAUAUAGACUUUCGUCCCAUUUUAAACCAACUUAAUAAGGGUUUUCUAUUUUAUGAAGUAAUUUUUUACUAGAGGUGGGUAUUUGGAUAUCCGUUCGGGUUUGAUUUUGUAUUUAUUCGAGUUUUAAAUUUUUGGAGUUAGAAAGUUAAACUUCACUCGGGUAUUUAUACAUUUUGGUUUGAAUUUAUAUAAGAUUUUUGCGGGUUUGGUUCCGGUUCAGUAUCCAUUUAAAUUACUUUAAUAAAAUAAAAAAUAUAUACUUAAAAAUUCUAAAAGUCCAAAAAUAAAAUAACAUAUAGCAUAUAAGUUUGAAUAGUUUAUGUCUUAAUAUCUAAAUUAAAAUAAAAUUGUUUUGUUAUUGACAUUUGGAAGGAAAAAUUGUUACGUAUUUUGAGUACUUUUGGUAUUUUGAAUAUAUUUUAGCCAUUUUGGAUUUUGGCUGCUUGUAUAUAUUUCUAGGUAUUUUAGACACUUUCAAAAAUGUAUAGUUUUAGAUAUUAGAUUUAAAAAAUUAAUGUAUUUAGAUAAAUAAUAUAUAUUUGGAUAUUUUUGGAUACCUAAAAUAUUUCAGUUCAGAUAAGUUUGGUUUCGAGUUCUUCAAAUACCAAAAUUUUGACUUCAUCUGGAUAUUUAAUCAGAUUCGGUUCAGGUAUAGUAUUACUUUUCAGAUAAAUUUCGAUUCAGUUCUUCGGGUCUGGGCAUUUUGCCCAGCACUAGUUUUUACCUUCCUUUUUAAAAUAAUCGUUCAUAAGAUAUCAUGCGAGGACAUGAGCUACACAUAACAUGCAGAUGCGGAUGACUGUUUUUGUUCGUCACUUGUCACUCACUUCACAGCGAUACACACACAUGCAUGCAUUAUUACACGUGAUCGCCAUGCAAAUCUCCAUUCUCACCUAUAAAUUACGUCCUCAGCUUCACACUUUACUCAAAUCAAAAUCAUCAUAAUUACAAACAAGGUUAAAAACAUACACAAAUGGCGAACAAGCUCUUCCUCGUCUCGGCAACUCUCGCCUUCUUCUUCCUUCUCACCAAUGCCUCCGUCUACAGGACGGUUGUGGAAGUCGACGAAGAUGAUGCCACAAACCCAGCCGGUCCAUUUAGGAUUCCAAAAUGUAGGAAGGAGUUUCAGCAAGCACAACACCUAAGAGCUUGCCAGCAAUGGCUCCACAAGCAGGCAAUGCAGUCUGGUAGUGGUCCAAGCUGGACCCUCGACGGUGAAUUUGAUUUUGAAGACGACAUGGAGAACCCCCAGGGCCCACAACAGAGGCCCCCGCUACUCCAGCAGUGCUGCAACGAGCUCCAUCAGGAAGAGCCACUUUGCGUUUGCCCAACCUUGAAAGGAGCAUCCAAAGCCGUUAAACAACAGGUUCGACAACAGGGACAACAGCAGGGACAGCAGGGACAGCAGCUGCAGCAAGUAAUUAGCCGUAUCUACCAGACCGCUACGCACUUACCUAGAGUUUGCAACAUCCCGCAAGUUAGCAUUUGUCCCUUCCAGAAGACCACGCCUGGGCCCUACUACUAGAUUCCAAACGAAAUCCUCGGGAAUGUAUAUACCGCGGUGAUGAAUGUGGUUGUUGAUGUAUGUUAACACUUCAUAGUCAUGGUGUGUGUUCCAUAAAUAAUGUACGUUAAAAUGUUCGAGG